CACUUUGGAAGUGUCUCUCGCGCAAACUAUUCAGUUUAGAAAAAAAUGAUAUUAGAAACCACUAUCAUUUUUGAAGAUCUAUCCAUGGAUACCCCACACGUAUCGGUUUGAUGAAAAAAAUUUUUUUUUGAGGGAUUUAUGACGUAUUAAAAAAAAACUACUUACUAGAUCUCGUUCAAACCAAUUUUCGGUGGAAGUUUGCAUGGUAAUGUACAUCAUAUAUUUUUUUUAGUUUUAUCAUUCUCAUAUUUUAGAAGUUACAGGGGGGGGGACACACACAUUUUACCACUUUGGAAGUGUCUCUCGCGCAAAAUAUUCAGUUUAGAAAAAAAAUGAUAUUUGAAACCUCAAUAUCAUUUUUGAAGACCUAUCCAUAGAUACCCCACACGUAUGGGUUUGAUGAAAAAAAAAAUUUUUGAGCGAUUUAUGACGUAUUAAAAAAAAACUACUUACUAGAUCUCGUUCAAACCAAUUUUCGGUGGUAGUUUACAUGGUAAUGUACAUCAUAUAUUUUUUUUAGUUUUAUCAUUCUGUUAUUUUAGAAGUUACAGGGGGGGGGGGACACACAUUUUACCACUUUGGAAGUGUCUCUCGCGCAAACUAUUCAGUUUAGAAAAAAAUGAUAUUAGAAACCUCAAUAUCAUUUUAAAAGACCUAUCCAUAGAUACCCCACACGUAUGGGUCUGAUGAAAAAAAAAAUUUUGAAGGAUUUAUGACGUAUUAAAAAAAAACUACUUACUAGAUCUCGUUCAAACUAAUUUUCGGUGGAAGUUUGCAUGGUAAUGUAUAUCAUAUGUUUUUUUUUAGUUUU